UACUUUUUGAUUUAUUUGUGCCUUUACCAAUUUCUUUCAUCACUGUUUUAUAAUUUUCACUGUACAGAUCUUUCACUCUCUUGGUUAAGUUUAUUCCUAUUUUUUGAUGCUACUGUAGACGGCACUGUUUUCUCAAGUCCUUUUUCAGAUAGUUCAUUGUUACUGUAUAAAAAUGAGAUUUGUAUGACUUUGGUAUGUUGAUUUUGUAUCCUUCAAUAUUACUGAACUUGUUUAUUAGGUUUAACAAUUUCUUUGGUAGGGUCUUUAGGAUUUUCUACAUAUAAGAUCAUGUCAUCUGCAAACAGGGAUACUUUACUUCUUUUUUCACAAUUUGAAUAAUAUAUAUUUGCUUAAUUGCUGUGGCUAGGACUUCUAUUAAUAUGUUUAGAAGUAACAUAUUCUAACUUCUAAUAUUAAUAGAAGUGGUGAGCAUACCACUUCACCUUCUAGAAGAACAAAGCUUUUUUGGACUACUUCUAAUUAGAUAUUGUGAAAAGCUUCCUGCCAAGAAAGCAAUGAUCCUCUGUUCUAUCAAAAUCUAUUUCAGUGUUUUAUGUCAUCUUAAUCAGGUCUUUGAUUACUUAAUAAAACUGAAUCAUCUCAAUAGUAAGAGCUAACCUUUUGUAGUUGUCUUUGAAAUAUUUUAUUAUUACUUUGGUAAAUGUAUUAAGCAUUGUUUCAUAAUAAUCUAUGUUCAUAUAUUAAGCCUGUGUGUGUGUUCUAUCUGUAUAGGUAUAUAAGUAUUCCAGAAAAUGUGUGAAAUUCCUGGAAGUCUGAUAUGUUCUUGCAUAAGAUGUUGUCUGUCUUAAAAAAUGAGCACUACACUAAAAGGACUGAAUCUGAGUAUCAAGGAAAUGCCCUAACUUUCAUGUAAAGGUAGCAGCAACAAAAUCUAUAAUGUUUGUGGCACAUGUGGAUGAAGUCUAUUCUGCUUCAGCAAAAAUGAUCCCUAAGUGUCCAACUUGAAUUAUUUUUAACAUGGCAACAGUCUGCUCCUAAAUCAGAGAAACUAAGAUGGGUAAACAGUGUUUGUAAACUAAACAAGACUAUGGAAAAACAAGACAGCCACUUUGUUCUUCAUGCUUCCUUGGCCAAAGCCCUUUUUUGUUUGUUUGUUUGUUUGUUUGUUUUUGUUUUUUAUUGCACUCAUUCUCCCUAGUGCAUUUAAGCUGACCUUCAUUCAACUGCCACUAAUUAUGGGUUAUUGAUAUGUUCUUGUUGUAUGUAUGUUUUCUAAAUGGGUUGAAGCCUCCCCCCUGCCAAAAGGCUAAUGUGCUCACAGUGGCAAAGAAGCUGUUAGAAAAUGUGUUUCUGAGUUGGGGUACAUCUUCCAUAAUCUCUAGUGUUCGAGGCAUCCACUUUACUAAGCAAAUCAUACAAACCUUGAUGGUAAGCCUUGAACACUUCCUGAAAUUAUCUAUCACUAGCCAUAACACCCUCAAUCACCAGGCAUGGUUAAGAGAACUAGUGCAAAAGCUGGAUUUAUAAAGUGUUGUUAACAAAAAGAUCAACAGCAGCAAAAUUAAUAACAAGGGACUGAAAGAACUGAAGAAUGAUUAUAAUUUCUUUGAAUUUUGUUUGAAAUAUUACUGAUUCUUUAAUAUUUUGUUUUCCAGAUAUAAGAAAACCUUUUCUCUUAAGCUACCUAUGACUUAGAACAAUUUGGUAAACUAUACCUUUGUGAGCAGAAUUGAAACAUUUAUAGUUUUCUCCCUACUUGAUUACUCCAGAAUCCAGAAACUCCAUGGAUGCCUCUUACUAAAUACCUGAUUGCUUAUAGUAAUAGGCCCAACUUUGAGAACCACCUGCAUCAUCGCCUUCUGAAAUGAGAGACAAUUAUUAACUGAACUGACCUAUUUUCAAGACUGAGACUUGUUUUAAAACUUACAUAUAACAAUAAUGUCCUAAUUGGGCUUUUCUUAAGGUUUCAACAGGGAAAUUGACACAAAUACUGAGUUGAACAUAAACUCAUAUACUGCAAGUGUAUUUCUUGCUUAUGUCCCCCUCCAAGGGUCAUAAUGAACCCAAGAAAGGCAUUGUCACCUUGGCAUCGAGGACUUAAAAAUGUUUUGUUUGAUCUAUGAUAGUUUCAGAGAGAAAAAUCCUGAUCAAAAAGGGAAAAUUAGGAAUGGAGUGAAGAAAUAAAAUGGAGUCACUGUAAUCAAGCUGCUAAAUUACUAACUUCAAUAGGUUGAGGUAUGAGGAAACUAUUCUGUUCUGUUUAACCACGUUGAAAGCUUAAAGUUAUGAACAUUCCAGUCCUGUGUCAAUGCCUGUAUAUAUAUUAAACCUCUAGGUAAUCCUCUGAUAACCCUGAAGGAUUAAGAAAAGAAUUUUCAUGUAUCCAGACCACGACAUCCAGUAUUCAGACCACUGGUCAUCUAGAGAAUUACCAUAUUGGACCAAUCCAGAGGUUAAUAAUGCAGGACUGACUUCUCUCAAUCAUGUACUUUUUAACUAUAAGAACUAUUAGCUUUUCUUUCUGUUUUUUUUUUUUUCUUUUUCCCCCCAGAAGACUCUGGCUAUAGCUUAGCAGUGUUUCCAGUUUGCAAACCCUAAAACCCUUGAAUAAAUUUUAUUAUUUAUUUCUA